GACGGACGCUGGCGGCGUGCUUAACACAUGCAAGUCGAACGGAAAGGCCCCAGCUUGCUGGGGUACUCGAGUGGCGAACGGGUGAGUAACACGUGGGUGAUCCGCCCUGCACUCUGGGAUAAGCCUGGGAAACUGGGUCUAAUACCGGAUAGGACCGUGCUUUAGUGUGUGCGGUGGAAAGUUUUUCGGUGCAGGAUGAGCCCGCGGCCUAUCAGCUUGUUGGUGGGGUAAUGGCCUACCAAGGCGGCGACGGGUAGCCGGCCUGAGAGGGUGUACGGCCACAUUGGGACUGAGACACGGCCCAGACUCCUACGGGAGGCAGCAGUGGGGAAUAUUGCACAAUGGGCGCAAGCCUGAUGCAGCGACGCCGCGUGGGGGAUGACGGCCUUCGGGUUGUAAACCCCUUUCGGCAGGGACGAAGCUUUUGUGACGGUACCUGCAUAAGAAGCACCGGCUAACUACGUG
rnacentral:rRNA from 1 species